GACGAACGCUGGCGGCGUGCCUAAUACAUGCAAGUCGAACGCAGUGGGGACGGGUGAGUAACACGUGGGUAACCUCCCAUCAGAGGGGAUAACACUUGGAAACAGGUGCUAAACCGAUACUGAUGGAUGGAUCCGCGGUGCAUUAGCUAGUUGGUGAGGUAACGGCCCACCAAGGCCACGAUGCAUAGCUGACGUGAGAGGGGGAUCCGCCACACUGGGACUGAGACACGGCCCAGACUCCUACGCGAGUCAGCAGUACAGAAUCUUCCACAAUUGACGAAAGUCUGACCCAGCUCCGCCGCGUGAAUGAAGAAGGUUUUCGGAUCGUAAAACUCUGUUGUGAGAGAAGCGGAAUCUAACCAGAAAGCCACGGCUAACUACGUGCCAGCCGCCGCGGUAAUAC
rnacentral:rRNA from 1 species